rnacentral:rRNA from 1 species
CGCGUAGGCGGUCCGGCCAGUCGGAUGUGAAAGCCCUCGGCUCAACCGAGGAAGUGCAUUCGAAACUACCGGGCUAGAGUACCGGAGAGGGUGACGGAAUUCCCGGUGUAGAGGUGAAAUUCGUAGAUAUCGGGAGGAACACCAGCGGCGAAGGCGGUCACCUGGACGGAUACUGACGCUGAGGUGCGAAAGCGUGGGGAGCAAACA